rnacentral:rRNA from 1 species
CGCAGCGACGCCGCGUGAGGGAUGAAGGCCUUCGGGUCGUAAACCUCUUUCAGCAGGGAAGAAGCGCAAGUGACGGUACCUGCAGAAGAAGCACCGGCUAACUACGUGCCAGCAGCCGCGGUAAUACGUAGGGUGCAAGCGUUGUCCGGAAUUAUUGGGCGUAAAGAGCUCGUAGGCGGUCUGUCGCGUCUGCUGUGAAAACCUAGGGCUUAACUCUGGGCGUGCAGUGGGUACGGGCAGACUAGAGUGCGGUAGGGGAGACUGGAAUUCCUGGUGUAGCGGUGAAAUGCGCAGAUAUCAGGAGGAACACCGGUGGCGAAGGCGGGUCUCUGGGCCGUAACUGACGCUGAGGAGCGAAAGCAUGGGGAGCGAACAGGAUUAGAUACCCUGGUAGUCCAUGCCGUAAACGUUGGGCGCUAGGUGUGGGGUCCAUUCCACGGAUUCUGCGCCGCAGCUAACGCAUUAAGCGCCCCGCCUGGGGAGUACGGCCGCAAGGCUAAAACUCAAAGGAAUUGACGGGGGCCCGCACAAGCGGCGGAGCAUGCGGAUUAAUUCGAUGCAACGCGAAGAACCUUACCAAGGCUUGACAUGGGGUGAAAACUCGCAGAGAUGCGGGGUCCGCAAGG